rnacentral:rRNA from 1 species
GCGUAGGCGGUUUAAUAAGUGAAUAGUGAAACCUGGUGGCUCAACCAUACAGACUAUUAUUCAAACUGUUAAACUCGAGAAUGGUAGAGGUAACUGGAAUUUCUAGUGUAGGAGUGAAAUCCGUAGAUAUUAGAAGGAACACCGAUGGCGUAGGCAGGUUACUGGGCCAUUUCUGACGCUAAGGCACGAAAGCGUGGGGAGCGAACCGGAUUAGAUACCCUGGUAGUCCACACAGUAAACGAUGAAUACUCGCAGUUUGCGAUAUACUGUAAGCUGCCAAGCGAAAGCAUUAAGUAUUCCACCUGGGGAGUACGCCGGCAACGGUGAAACUCAAAGGAAUUGACGGGGGCCCGCACAAGCGGAGGAACAUGUGGUUUAAUUCGAUGAUACGCGAGGAACCUUACCCGGGCUUGAACUAGCUCCGACGACUCAAGAGAUUGAGUUUUCUUCGGACGGAGUUAGAGGUGCUGCAUGGUUGUCGUCAGCUCGUGUCGUGAG